AUUGAACGCUGGCGGCAUGCCUUACACAUGCAAGUCGAACGGCAGCACGGGAGCAAUCCUGGUGGCGAGUGGCGAACGGGUGAGUAAUAUAUCGGAACGUGCCCAGUCGUGGGGGAUAACGCAGUGAAAGCUGUGCUAAUACCGCAUACGAUCUACGGAUGAAAGCGGGGGAUCGCAAGACCUCGCGCGAUUGGAGCGGCCGAUAUCAGAUUAGCUAGUUGGUGGGGUAAAGGCCCACCAAGGCGACGAUCUGUAGCUGGUCUGAGAGGACGACCAGCCACACUGGAACUGAGACACGGUCCAGACUCCUACGGGAGGCAGCAGUGGGGAAUUUUGGACAAUGGGCGCAAGCCUGAUCCAGCAAUGCCGCGUGCAGGAUGAAGGCCUUCGGGUUGUAAACUGCUUUUGUACGGAACGAAACGGCCCUUUCUAAUACAGGGGGCUAAUGACGGUACCGUAAGAAUAAGCACCGGCUAACUACGUGCCAGCCGCCGCCGUAAAAC
rnacentral:rRNA from 1 species